CCCGCACCGCGCCUGACCCCGCAGCCCCGCGGGCCGCUCCCCCACUCCAAAGCUGCUAUUUACGGGGCUUUCGCGUUUUCUUGCAAAUCAAGACCAAAAAAAAAAAAAAAAAAAAGAGAGAGAGAGAGGGAGAGAGAGAGAAAAGAAAAGCAAAAAAGAUGUAGAGAGCAAAACAAUGCGGGAGAUCUGGGCUGCAGCGGCAGAGCGGCUCCGGGAGCUGCUGGCCGCCCGCUCCGCACGGGCACGGCAGGGACAGGGAUAGGGCGGGGGGCACGGCCGCCCGCAGCCCUGAGUGCCGCCGCGGGAGCCACCUGCAGAAAAGCGCCCCGUCCCAUUGUUACUGCACUGUGAAAAUCUGAGCCCUGAAGCACCUAUGGAAAUGCACGAGUUUUCACUGGGACCGAAAUAAUGAUUUUCUGUG
ensembl:lncRNA